UGGGGAAUAUUGGGCAAUGGGCGAAAGCCUGACCCAGCAACGCCGCGUGAAGUAUGAAGGCCUUCGGGUUGUAAACUUCUUUGAUCAGGGAAGAAACAAAUGACGGUACCUGAAAAACAAGCCACGGCUAACUACGUGCCAGCAGCCGCGGUAAUACGCAGGUGGCGAGCGUUAUCCGGAUUUACUGGGUGUAAAGGGCGUGCAGGCGGGCUGAUAAGUCAGAUGUGAAAUCCCCGAGCUUAACUCGGGAACUGCAUCUGAUACUGGUGGUCUUGAGUGCUGGAGAGGAUAGUGGGAUUCCUAGUGUAGCGGUAAAAUGCGCAGAUAUUAGGAGGAAAACCAGUGGCGAAGGCGGCUAUCUGGACAGUAAAUGGCGCUGAGGGGCGAAAGCGUGGGUAGCAAACAGG
rnacentral:rRNA from 1 species